rnacentral:rRNA from 1 species
UGGGGAAUAUUGGACAAUGGGGGCAACCCUGAUCCAGCCAUGCCGCGUGAGUGAUGAAGGCCCUAGGGUUGUAAAGCUCUUUCGGCGGGGACGAUAAUGACGGUACCCGCAGAAGAAGCCCCGGCUAACUUCGUGCCAGCAGCCGCGGUAAUACGAAGGGGGCUAGCGUUGCUCGGAAUCACUGGGCGUAAAGCGCACGUAGGCGGAUCUUUAAGUCAGGGGUGAAAUCCCAAGGCUCAACCUUGGAACUGCCUUUGAUACUGGGGAUCUCGAGUCCGGAAGAGGUUGGUGGAACUCCGAGUGUAGAGGUGAAAUUCGUAGAUAUUCGGAAGAACACCAGUGGCGAAGGCGGCCAACUGGUCCGGUACUGACGCUGAGGUGCGAAAGCGUGGGGAACAAACA